AGGAGGAGGAGGAGGAGAAAAGAAGAAGAAGAAUAAGAAGAAGAAGAAGAAGAAGAAGAAGAAGAAGAAGAAGAAGAAGAAGAAGAAGAAGAAGAAGAAGAAGAAGAAGAAGAAGAAGAAGAAGAAGAAGAAGAAGAAUCAAGUUAUGGGAGAGCAGCCACUGUCCCUGCCCCGCCCCCUCAGCCCUUGGGGCCCAAGGGGAAGCUAUUCCUGGAGAAGGCUGGCUCUAGAGGGAUGGUACGCGAAGGAAGGUGGUCCUGACACUAAAACGGGAAGAGUUUGUGUGAAGAGGUCAGAUGAGGUGGAUUUCUGCCUACAUGGCUCCAGGUCAUCGGCUGCGCCGCAUGACCAUCUUGUUGAAUACUUCUGGCCAGAGCUCACAGGCACUGCCUACAUACUGAUACGGAUUAUCCUUCAAACAGUACCCAGGAGCAGUUACUAUACCUGCGUUGUAAACGACAAAACAGGUUGUAUGACUCACCCAAGGUGAACAGCUAGGAGGCACCCGAUAAUUUAAAAACAUUUUUCUUUAUACUAAAUCGUUUCAAAUAUCCAACCCAGCCUUUUCUUCAAUCACUUUCUAUCUGUCUCUCAUUGUCUUAGGUGCUCUUUUCCCUCCCCCUAGGAAGGAGCUUCGGAGUUGUAGGAUGCCACGUUCCAAGCUACGUUCCACCGGCAGCGGGGAGCAUUCUCUUUCGUCCUCUGCUGCCGAGAGCUCCCUUGAGGGCUGACCCCCGCCCCCAAUCCAAUCCAAGGGCAGAGUACCUAACUCUGGAAGGGAGGUUUGGCUGGUUGGAGGGGAAAGCUUGCCUGCGGACUAAGAGAUGAGGUCUUUGUGAAGAGCUAUGGGGUAGCGGAGAAGGUGCCAGCCGCUAGAAUCGCCUUUAGCUCCUUAUCAAAUAUUAACACGCCUCUACCGCUACCUCCCACCUAGAAGAAUAAUUAAGAGCUCGGUCUCACCAUUAAUCUUUAAACGAAAAUCACCUUGUCUGGAAAGACCGGCUGGGCUGGGGACUUGGGUCCUGGGAUGCCCCCCGCCAGGCUCCCAAUCCAGCGCUGGGGGCUGGGGAGAAGGGAGGGAGCUUGCAGCUCUGAGGCCAGGAACCCAAGGUGGGGAGAGAGGAACGCCGGGACCCCAAAACAUCCAACCUGCUGCGUUUGCUCUGGGCGGGCAACAGCUACCGGCUCAGAGUCCCUGCAGGUGGCCACUGGCCACCCAGGGGCAGACCCAGGAGAACCAAG
rnacentral:lncRNA from 1 species